UACGUAGGGUGCAAGCGUUAAUCGGAAUUACUGGGCGUAAAGCGUGCGCAGGCGGUUAUGUAAGACAGGUGUGAAAUCCCCGGGCUAACCUGGGAACUGCAUUUGUGACUGGCAUGGCUGGAGUGCGGCAGAGGGGAUGGAAUUCGGCGUGUAGCAGUGAAAUGCGUAGAUAUGCGGAGGAACACCGAUGGCGAAGGCAAUCCCCUGGGCCUGCACUGACGCUCAUGCACGAAAGCGUGGGGAGCAAACAGG
rnacentral:rRNA from 1 species